GGUUCUUUUUUCUUUAUGUGUCUGGCUAGAUCACGCUGGCGGCGUGCCUAACACAUGCAAGUCGAACGCGAAAAUCCCGCAAGGGAUCAGUAGAGUGGCAAACGGGUGAGUAACACGUGGGUGACCUGCCUUCGAGUGGGGGAUAACGUCCCGAAAGGGACGCUAAUACCGCAUGACAUCCUGCCUUUGAACAGGCGGAGAUCAAAGCUGGGGAUCGCAAGACCUAGCGCUUGAAGAGGGGCCCGCGUCCGAUUAGCUAGUUGGCGAGGUAACGGCUCACCAAGGCAACGAUCAGUAUCCGGUCUGAGAGGACGGUCGGACACACUGGAACUGAGACACGGUCCAGACUCCUACGGGAGGCAGCAGUGGGGAAUUUUUGGCAAUGGGGGCAACCCUGACCAAGCAACGCCGCGUGGGUGAUGAAGUCUCUUGGGACGUAAAACCCUUUCGACGGGGAAGAAAACCGCAAGGUUUGACGGUACCCGUAGAAGAAGCCCCGGCUAACUCCGUGCCAGCAGCCGCGGUAAUACGGGGGGGGCAAGCGUUGUUCGGAAUUACUGGGCGUAAAGGGCGCGUAGGCGGUUCGCUAAGUUGGAUGUGAAAACUCUGGGCUCAACCCAGAGCCUGCAUCCAAAACUGGCGGGCUAGAGUUCUGGAGGGGGUAGCGGAAUUCCUGGUGUAGCGGUGAAAUGCGUAGAUAUCAGGAGGAACACCGGUGGCGAAGGCGGCUACCUGGACAGAAACUGACGCUGAGGCGCGAAAGCUAGGGGAGCAAACAGGAUUAGAUACCCUGGUAGUCCUAGCCCUAAACGAUGGAUACUUGGUGUGACGGGAUUGAAUCCCGUCGUGCCGAAGCUAACGCAUUAGUAUCCCGCCUGGGAAGUACGGUCCGCAAGGCUG
rnacentral:rRNA from 1 species